ACUCAAAGGAAUAGACGGGGGCCCGCACAAGCGGUGGAGCAUGUGGUUUAAUUCGAUGCAACGCGAAGAACCUUACCUGGUCUUGACAUCCACAGAACUUUCCAGAGAUGGAUUGGUGCCUUCGGGAACUGUGAGACAGGUGCUGCAUGGCUGUCGUCAGCUCGUGUUGUGAAAUGUUGGGUUAAGUCCCGCAACGAGCGCAACCCUUAUCCUUUGUUGCCAGCGGUUAGGCCGGGAACUCAAAGGAGACUGCCAGUGAUAAACUGGAGGAAGGUGGGGAUGACGUCAAGUCAUCAUGGCCCUUACGACCAGGGCUACACACGUGCUACAAUGGCGCAUACAAAGAGAAGCAAUCUCGCGAGAGCUAGCGGACCUCAUAAAGUGCGUCGUAGUCCGGAUUGGAGUCUGCAACUCGACUCCAUGAAGUCGGAAUCGCUAGUAAUCGUGAAUCAGAAUGUCACGGUGAAUACGUUCCCGGGCCUUGUACACACCGCCCGU
rnacentral:rRNA from 1 species